UGACAUUCACAUACUAAAAAAAGUAAUGUAGAGCGUGUGAGACAUACAUAAAUUAAAAUAAGCAAGAAAGCUUUUAAUAUAUAUUUGACCAUUUGUAAAUCAAUUGCGUAAGGGUCAAACUAAAUGGAAUAAGUCUUCGCAUCAAUGCCUUUGACCCUUUCCAUAAACAUAAAACUUACGAAUAGGCUGAAGCUGAAACUAAUACAAAGAAUGAUGUCGCCAAAUAAAUAAAAGUAUUUUCUUUCUUUCUUUCCAUAAAUAUCAAAGAUUAGUUGGUUGGUUGGUUGAUUUUGGUGGUUGGUGCGCUAGCGAUGGCCUGGCUGUUGUGGUGUGAGUUGCUGCCGUCAGUGGCUAUGCUCAAUGAGGGUUGCUGCGGCUAGGUUUGUGGUGG
rnacentral:lncRNA from 1 species